rnacentral:tRNA from 2 species
AUACAAAAAGCGAGAAAUUUGCAUAUGGUUUCGACCCAUAUCUUGGAGGUGAAAGUCCUUUUUUGUAUU